rnacentral:rRNA from 1 species
CACGUAGUUAGCCGGGCUUCUUGGUCAGGUACCGUCAUCUUCUUCCCUGCUGAUAGAGCUUUACAUACCGAAAUACUUCUUCACUCACGCGGCGUUGCUGCAUCAGGGUUUCCCCAUUGUGCAAUAUUCCCCACUGCUGCCUCCCGUAGGAGUUUGGGCCGUGUCUCAGUCCCAAUGUGGCCGGUCACCCUCUCAGGUCGGCUACUGAUCGUCGCUUUGGUGGGCCGUUACCCGCCAACUGGCUAAUCAGACGCGGGUCCAUCUUAUACCACCGGAGUUUUUCACACCGUACCAUGCGGCACUGUGCGCUUAUGCGGUAUUAGCAGUCAUUUCUAACUGUUAUCCCCCUGUAUAAGGCAGGUUACCCACGCGUUACUCACCCGUCCGCCGCUCAGUCAUACAGGAUUCCAUCCGAAAACUUCCUCCUGUAUGCUUCGCUCGACUUGCAUGUGUUAGGCACGCCGCCAGCGUUCAUCCUGAGCCAGGAUCAACUCUC